AUUGAACGCUGGCGGCAGGCCUAACACAUGCAAGUCGAACGGCAGCACAGAAGAGCUUGCUCUUUGGGUGGCGAGUGGCGGACGGGUGAGUAAUGUCUGGGAAACUGCCCGAUGGAGGGGGAUAACUACUGGAAACGGUAGCUAAUACCGCAUAACGUCGCAAGACCAAAGUGGGGGACCUUCGGGCCUCACACCAUCGGAUGUGCCCAGAUGGGAUUAGCUAGUAGGUGGGGUAAUGGCUCACCUAGGCGACGAUCCCUAGCUGGUCUGAGAGGAUGACCAGCCACACUGGAACUGAGACACGGUCCAGACUCCUACGGGAGGCAGCAGUGGGGAAUAUUGCACAAUGGGCGCAAGCCUGAUGAAGCCAUGCCGCGUGUAUGAAGAAGGCCUUCGGGUUGUAAAGUACUUUCAGCGGGGAGGAAGGCGGUGAGGUUAAUAACCUCGCCGAUUGACGUUACCCGCAGAAGAAGCACCGGCUAACUCCGUGCCAGCAGCCGCCGCCG
rnacentral:rRNA from 1 species